GUAACAAGGUUUCCGUAGGUGAACCUGCGGAAGGAUCAUUACCUAGAGUUGCGGGCUUUGCCUGCCAUCUCUUACCCAUGUCUUUUGAGUACCUUCGUUUCCUCGGCGGGUCCGCCCGCCGACUGGACAAAACUUAAACCCUUUGUAAUUGAAAUCAGCGUCUGAAAAAACUUAAUAGUUACAACUUUCAACAACGGAUCUCUUGGUUCUGGCAUCGAUGAAGAACGCAGCGAAAUGCGAUAAGUAGUGUGAAUUGCAGAAUUCAGUGAAUCAUCGAAUCUUUGAACGCACAUUGCGCCCCUUGGUAUUCCAUGGGGCAUGCCUGUUCGAGCGUCAUUUGUACCUUCAAGCUCUGCUUGGUGUUGGGUGUUUGUCUCGCCUCUUUGCGCGCAGACUCGCCUCAAAGCAAUUGGCAGCCGGCGUAUUGGUUUCGGAGCGCAGUACAUCUCGCGCUUUGCACUCAUAACGACGACGUCCAAAAAGUACAUUUUUUACACUCUUGACCUCGGAUCAGGUAGGGAUACCCGCUGAACUUAAGCAUAUCAAUAA
rnacentral:misc_RNA from 1 species